CAGUAUUGCUGAGGGCACCUCGUUCAUUUAUGCGACAAUAUGGAGCUCAGCUGGUUCGCACUCACUUUACUGCUGACUGUCUAUAAAUCCAAUGGAGAAAUCCGCCAAGAGCCUGAAAUCUUUGCCAACAGCAGUUCAAAUGUGACAUUGACAUGUCAACAUGAUAAUUCUGACCACUACAGAUUGUUCUGGUACAAGCAAACAAAGGGGAGUGUGGGAUUGUCUUUAUUGAUAUUUUCUAUUGGCCAAAAUCAGGUAGAGAUUGAAGCGCCAUUUAAAACUCAAGAAUCUAAGUAUGAAGCAACCCGUCCUGUAAUAAAGAUGUCCACGCUGCAGAUUAACAAACUAGAGACUGAAGACUCGGCUCUCUAUUAUUGUGCCACGAGCACACAGUAUUAUAUUACAGCUGCACUGCUAAACAACAACCACAACGUUAAAACUGCACUGUGCUUUCAUCUCUCAUUUAUGAUGUCAUUUCCUGUUCCUUUGAUCAUAGACACAUUAAAUAGGAUAGUCAAAAUACACCUAGAAGGGGAAAGGUACACUAGAAGUGGAUUCUCCUCUUUAAUGUCAUGGGACUUUUGUGUUCGGGGUUUAUUUUGCUGCUAGCUAUUAAGUCAUUAGGAGGAAUAACCAUCACUCAGAAUGAUCAAGUUAGUAAAACUCAAGUGAUUACUCAACGGGAUAAACAGGUUACUUUAAAAUGCAACCAUGAUGAUGGCACCUAUUAUUAUAUGUUCUGGUACAGACAGAGAAGUCAAGGUGAACUGUCCCUCGUUGCUAUUUCUGUUGGAAAAGACAAUAAAGAAACAGUUUCCCCAUUCACAGAAACAAAAUAUAUAAUGCAACGUCCUGACAUUAAAGAAUCUUCGCUGGAGAUCAAGAAUGUAGUAGGGGAGGACUCAGGUAUUUAUUUCUGCGCUUCAAGCAUUACACAGUACCUUAACUUAGCCAGAUAGCUGAGCAAUAACCUCAACCUGAGCCACAAUGAUCAGAGAGAAAAUACAUGAGAAUCAAGCUGGUUGUGGGAUAUACUAUCUUUGAUCCUAUACAUGUAUAUUAUGUAGUUACUACAUACAUA